AUUGAACGCUGGCGGCAGGCCUAACACAUGCAAGUCGAGCGGAUGAAGGGAGCUUGCUCCUGGAUUCAGCGGCGGACGGGUGAGUAAUGCCUAGGAAUCUGCCUGGUAGUGGGGGAUAACGUCCGGAAACGGGCGCUAAUACCGCAUACGUCCUGAGGGAGAAAGUGGGGGAUCUUCGGACCUCACGCUAUCAGAUGAGCCUAGGUCGGAUUAGCUAGUUGGUGGGGUAAAGGCCUACCAAGGCGACGAUCCGUAACUGGUCUGAGAGGAUGAUCAGUCACACUGGAACUGAGACACGGUCCAGACUCCUACGGGAGGCAGCAGUGGGGAAUAUUGGACAAUGGGCGAAAGCCUGAUCCAGGAAUGCCGCGUGUGUGAAGAAGGUCUUCGGAUUGUAAAGCACUUUAAGUUGGGAGGAAGGGCAGUAAGUUAAUACCUUGCUGUUUUGACGUUACCAACAGAAUAAGCACCGGCUAACUUCGUG
rnacentral:rRNA from 1 species